CCUGCUGGAGCAAUAGUUAUGUGCUUGGCUGCUAACUGAAAGGUUGGUGGUUCAAACCCACCCAGCAGCU
rnacentral:tRNA from 1 species